rnacentral:rRNA from 1 species
CAGGAUUAGAUACCCUGGUAGUCCACGCCGUAAACGAUGUCGACUUGGAGGUUGUGCCCUUGAGGCGUGGCUUCCGGAGCUAACGCGUUAAGUCGACCGCCUGGGGAGUACGGCCGCAAGGUUAAAACUCAAAUGAAUUGACGGGGGCCCGCACAAGCGGUGGAGCAUGUGGUUUAAUUCGAUGCAACGCGAAGAACCUUACCUGGUCUUGACAUCCACAGAACUUUCCAGAGAUGGAUUGGUGCCUUCGGGAACUGUGAGACAGGUGCUGCAUGGCUGUCGUCAGCUCGUGUUGUGAAAUGUUGGGUUAAGUCCCGCAACGAGCGCAACCCUUAUCCUUUGUUGCCAGCGGUCCGGCCGGGAACUCAAAGGAGACUGCCAGUGAUAAACUGGAGGAAGGUGGGGAUGACGUCAAGUCAUCAUGGCCCUUACGACCAGGGCUACACACGUGCUACAAUGGCGCAUACAAAGAGAAGCGACCUCGCGAGAGCAAGCGGACCUCAUAAAGUGCGUCGUAGUCCGGAUUGGAGUCUGCAACUCGACUCCAUGAAGUCGGAAUCGCUAGUAAUCGUGGAUCAGAAUGCCACGGUGAAUACGUUCCCGGGCCUUGUACACACCGCCCGUCACACCAUGGGAGUGGGUUGCAAAAGAAGUAGGUAGCUUAACCUUCGGGAGGGCGCUUACCACUUUGUGAUUCAUGACUGGGGUGAAGUCGUAACAAGGUGACC